rnacentral:tRNA from 2 species
GCCGAGGUGGCGGAAUUGGUAGACGCGUAGGUCUCAAAAACCUAUGAGGCUCACCCCUCAUGAGGGUUCGAUUCCCUCUCUCGGCA